GUGGUGCAUGUCUAGUAUAGCAUCUAUACUGUGAAACUGCGAAUGGCUCAUUAAAUCAGUUAUCGUUUAUUUGAUAGUACCUUACUACUUGGAUAACCGUGGUAAUUCUAGAGCUAAUACAUGCUAAAAACCCCGACUUCGGAAGGGGUGUAUUUAUUAGAUAAAAAACCAAUGCCCUUCGGGGCUCCUUGGUGAUUCAUGAUAACUUAACGAAUCGCAUGGCCUUGCGCCGGCGAUGGUUCAUUCAAAUUUCUGCCCUAUCAACUUUCGAUGGUAGGAUAGUGGCCUACCAUGGUAUCAACGGGUAACGGGGAAUUAGGGUUCUAUUCCGGAGAGGGAGCCUGAGAAACGGCUACCACAUCCAAGGAAGGCAGCAGGCGCGCAAAUUACCCAAUCCCGACACGGGGAGGUAGUGACAAUAAAUACUGAUACAGGGCUCUUUUGGGUCUUGUAAUUGGAAUGAGUACAAUUUAAAUACCUUAACGAGGAACAAUUGGAGGGCAAGUCUGGUGCCAGCAGCCGCGGUAAUUCCAGCUCCAAUAGCGUAUAUUAAAGUUGUUGCAGUUAAAAAGCUCGUAGUUGAACCUUGGGCCUGGCUGGCCGGUCCGCCUCACCGCGUGUACUGGUCCGGCCGGGCCUUUCCUUCUGGGGAUCCUCAUGCCCUUCACUGGGUGUGCUGGGGAACCAGGACUUUUACUUUGAAAAAAUUAGAGUGUUCAAAGCAGGCCUUUACUCGAAUACAUUAGCAUGGAAUAAUAGAAUAGGACGUGCGGUCCUAUUUUGUUGGUUUCUAGGACCGCCGUAAUGAUUAAUAGGGAUAGUCGGGGGCAUCAGUAUUCAAUUGUCAGAGGUGAAAUUCUUGGAUUUAUUGAAGACUAACUACUGCGAAAGCAUUUGCCAAGGAUGUUUUCAUUAAUCAGUGAACGAAAGUUAGGGGAUCGAAGACGAUCAGAUA
rnacentral:rRNA from 1 species